AACGUAGGACGCAAGCGUUAUCCGGAGUUACUGGGCGUAAAGCGCGGGCAGGCGGCUCGAAACGUCUGAUGUGAAAUCUCCUCGCUCAACGGGGAGAGGCCAUUGGAAACGGUCGAGCUGGAGGGCAGUAGAGGUAGACGGAAUUCCGGGUGUAGCGGUGGAAUGCGUAGAGAUCCGGAGGAAGACCGGUGGCGAAGGCGGUCUGCUGGGCAGUUUCUGACACUGAGGCGCGACAGCGUGGGGAGCAAACAGG
rnacentral:rRNA from 1 species